rnacentral:rRNA from 1 species
CUACGGGCUGCUCCAGUGGGGAAUAUUGCACAAUGGGCGAAAGCCUGAUGCAGCAACGCCGCGUGGAGGAUGACACAUUUCGGUGCGUAAACUCCUUUUAUAUAAGAAGAUAAUGACGGUAUUAUAUGAAUAAGCACCGGCUAACUCCGUGCCAGCAGCCGCGGUAAUACGGGGGGUGCAAGCGUUACUCGGAACCACUGGGCGUAAAGAGCAUGUAGGCUGGAUGACAAGUUGGAAGUGAAAUCCUAUGGCUUAACCAUAGAACUGCUUCCAAAACUGUCUUCCUAGAGUAUGGGAGAGGUAGAUGGAAUUUCUGGUGUAGGGGUAAAAUCCGUAGAGAUCAGAAGGAAUACCGAUUGCGAAGGCGAUCUACUGGAACAUUACUGACGCUCAGAUGCGAAAGCGUGGGGAGCAAACAGGAUUAGAUACCCGGGUAGUC